rnacentral:tRNA from 1 species
GUUUCUGUGGCCUAGUGGUUAGGGCGUCUGUCUUACAGCAGUGGUGGAUCGUAUUGGGAAAGUCCCUUCAUUUGAUCUUGCCAACAGCGGCAUCACAGAAGAUCGCCGGUUCAAUCCCGGCCAGGAACA